rnacentral:rRNA from 1 species
UGAGGAAUAUUGGUCAAUGGGCGGAAGCCUGAACCAGCCAAGUCGCGUGAAGGAUGAAGGUAUUAUGUAUUGUAAACUUCUUUAGCAGUGGAGAAAUAAGGGGGUCGAGACCCCCGAUGCUAGUACACUGAGAAUAAGGAUCGGCUAACUCCGUGCCAGCAGCCGCGGUAAUACGGGAGGAUCCGAGCGUUAUCCGGAUUCAUUGGGUUUAAAGGGUGCGUAGGCGGCUUUGCAAGUCAGCGGUGAAAGGCCCGGGCUCAACCCCGGGAAAGUGCCGUUGAUACUGUGAGGCUGGAAUGCGGAUGCUGUGGGAGGAAUGAGUGGUGUAGCGGUGAAAUGCAUAGAUAUCACUCAGAACACCGAUUGCGAAGGCAUCUCACAAAUCCGCAAUUGACGCUGAG